rnacentral:rRNA from 1 species
UACGUAGGGGGCAAGCGUUGUCCGGAUUUAUUGGGCGUAAAGAGCGUGUAGGCGGCCAUGCAGGUCAGCUGUGAAAACUCGAGGCUCAACCUCGAGACGUCGGUUGAAACCGCUUGGCUAGAGUCCGGAAGAGGAGAGUGGAAUUCCCGGUGUAGCGGUGAAAUGCGCAGAUAUCGGGAAGAACACCCGUGGCGAAGGCGGCUCUCUGGGACGGUACUGACGCUGAGGAGCGAAAGCCAGGGGAGCAAACGGG